UAUAUUAUUUUUAUAACCAGGGAACACAGAGCUAAUUUCAUGUCGGGAAGUGCAAGAAAGGUGAUGCUUUAUGGAAGCCGAGGCAGAUUCCCUGAUAUCAGGGUCUCUUUGUCGGAAGGACAAACUCAUCCUUUCCACGCCUGGCCCACGCUCUCUGCCUCCCCCGUGGCCCCGCUCUGGAAUGACAGGGUGAGGUCGGCGGGGCCCACCCCCAGGAGCGCCCUGUCUACCUCCUCCAGGUUCCUGACCCCCAGGAGCCCCUGGUGGGAGGGGAUGACAACAUCAGUGCCGCAGAGCCCCCUCCUGGGAAUGCAACCCAGGGGGACCACGUUGUCCACAUUGUUUGGCCGGAGACUGGACGCACUUGUCGGAUGGGAAGGAUGGCUCUGGGUCCCUCGGAGGAGCAGGCAGUUCUCGCAGGUCUCGGAGGUCACUCUCCGGGAGACGAUGUUGGCCGUGAUGGAGCCGGAGGGUUCCUCCCGCCCUCCCUGCCUACAGACGGCUCGGGCCUGUCUGCCGGUGGGGCCCAAAGCAAUCCGGGUCUCAUUUCCCCCCAUGGGGUUGUGGCCACAUUUGUCUGUGGAAGAGGAACACCAGCUCUCAGGCCUUCCUGCCAGGGGGGCAGGCUGCCUUGAACAGACGACAAAAGGAUAAGCUACCAGGAGGGCCAAGGGCAAAUCUAAGGUCGUGGCCUUGGCCAGGUUUCCCCGCUGCCCAUCAGUCCUGUGUUUCCGGCCCGCCCUGGCCUCCGCCUCACCCCACACCACUCCCUCCCCAGGGGCGUCUCCUCUUUAGAAGGAUUCUGACCUCAGCUCCCCCAGCACAUCCUGCCUGCGGCCUUCACGGAUCACCCCAGCCACCGACUGGUAUUUGCCCCUGUGGCUGGUCUGUGUCCUGGUCUAUCUGUCCAUCCACCUGCUGUCUGCUCAGCUCUCACAGGCUCCUGGCCCAGUGCACUGUGUGUCCCUGGGCCCCGGCCAGCGCUCAGCGGGCACUCAUCCGCAGGUGCCCAGGGACCCAGUGAACGCCUGGCAACGUCCGGCCCCGCCCCCUGUUGGUCUCCUGGCCCCCCGAGUCUGCGCAUCAGGGUUGGGCAUUUCUUCCGAGCCCCAUCUACACGGCCAGGCUGGACGGGAGAGCAGGCCAGUGGGAGGGGACAGCUAGGGGAGCGUCCUCAGGACCUCCUCCAGCUCUGCAGCAGACCCCCUUCCUGCUGAUGGUCCCUGGCGUCUCCCCAACCCCGGUGCCCUCCUCUGGCAUGCACUUCGUAGCCUGAUGACCCACGAGUCUCUUUCUGUCCAUGGGACCUGGCACAGAGAAGGUUCCAGUGCCUGAGGGGCAUGUCUAUUUGUGGUGCCAAGCCUGGGGCAAUGGCCCUUGCUUGGGGGACCCCUCAAGCCCACUUUGCCAUAGAGAGGGCCUCUUGGCUCGCCCCGAAGAUGGAGCUGGUCCCCUAAGGAAGGACAACUCCGGGCCCACCGUGAUAGUCUCCGGCCCCGUCGAGGGCAGCUGCUGGGUCUGCCAGAAUCGUGUGACCCGCUCAGGGGCGAUGUGAAGCUGGGGCUGAGCUGGAACCAGAUGUCUGAGAGGGAAGCCAGCCCACAGUACGUGAACUGAAGGGCAGAGAAAGAAACUGGAGUCUGAACUAGGUCCUGGAAACGUUGCUAAAACUCCUGGAUCCGGCCAUACCUGAAAUCACUUACCAUUGGGCUUUUGAAUGAUGUGAACCGAUAAAUCCCCCCCCCCACUUUUGCCUCAGCAAGAAUCACUGCGGGUGGGACCGGUAGUCACUCAGGG